rnacentral:rRNA from 1 species
UACGUAGGGGGGCAAGCGUUGUUCGGAAUUACUGGGCGUAAAGGGCUCGUAAGCGGCCAACUAAGUCAGACGUGAAAUCCCUAGGCUCAACCUAGGAACUGCGUCUGAUACUGGAUGGCUUGAAUCCGGGAGAGGGAUGCAGAAUUCCAGGUGUAGCGGUGAAAUGCGUAGAUAUCGGGAGGAACACCAGUGGCGAAGGCGACUUCCUGGCCUGUUCUUGACGCUGAGGCGCGAAAGCUAGGGGAGCGAACGGG